GAGGGUCUGUCCGGGUACGGGCCUCGAGGUUGCCCUCUUUACCCGGGCUUUCUUCUCCGGGGCUUCGCCUCCAGGGUCAUAUCCUUUCGGCCCUAUUGGGCCAGGGUCGCAGUGCCCUUAGGGUCUUCGCCUUGUUUGGGUCUUCUCCUUGCUUGUGGUUAUGGAACUAUAACA